CACGUAGGCGGAUAGGUCAGUCAGAUGUGAAAGCCCGGAGCUUAACUCCGGAACUGCAUUUGAUACUACUUGUCUUGAGUAUGGUAGAGGGGGUCGGAAUUCCCGGUGUAGAGGUGAAAUUCGUAGAUAUCGGGAGGAACACCAGAGGCGAAGGCGACCCCCUGGGCCAUAACUGACGCUGAGGUGCGAAAGCGUGGGGAGCAAACA
rnacentral:rRNA from 1 species